rnacentral:lncRNA from 8 species
GGUCAAAUACUUAUUUCCCUCAUUAAAAUGCAAAUGAAUUUAUAACAUUUUUGACAUGUGUUUUUCUGGAUUUUUUUGUUGUUAUUUCUGUCUCUCACUGUUCAAAUAAACCUACCAUUAAAAUUAUAGACUGAUAAUUUCUUUGUCAGUGGGCAAAAGUACAAAAUCAGCAUGGGAUCAAAUACUUUUUUCCCUCACUGUAUGGUUCAUCAAUGUAAUAACAAUACCAACUCACGCCCCUUGCCUUGUAGGAGGAGGGACUUCUCAACUUCCAUGCGCUGAAUAAUUGCAACAAGUCCCAUGGUUGAAGGAGCAGACGUGGAUGGAGAAGCCCCUUGCGCGGCACACGUGGAUGGGAAUAUAUGUGGCAACCUGUUGAUAACGGAUUUAUGACAAUGGAUAACUUUGUAGGAGUACAAUGACAAAAGUGACAAUAGACACAUUGAAAGAAGAUCUUGCCGACGGCGAAGACAGAGUAAUAGGCUACUGCAUUCCCAUGGAAUUCAAACUUUUAGGAUAGUGGUAACAAAUUUGCUAACUUUUAUCUAGUAACGCUUCGGUGGCCUACGGAGUCACACGUUUCUGUAAAUGUGAAACAAUAUCAGAAAUAAUACAAAUGGCACUGCGCAGUGAAACAAUAGUCCUACAAAGCAAAUACUUUCGUUAUUAUCCAUGAUAAAACAAUAUGAACACAUAACAGGUGUUUUCAGAGUAGUCAAGAGCAGACUUAUUGGAAUACAUAAUAACUGUCAAACGUGCAAAUAACUGGUCGGUAGGUAACCAUUCACCAAGAAGAAGCCUAUUUGAAAUGGUCUACACUUGCUUUAUUUACUGGGAAGAGAUCACUUGGAAGAUAAUUCAAUUAAAGUCUCAGUUCAGAAUGAAACUGCUGAACUUACUUUGCGUUGUUGUCGGGUUGUGGAGGACAUGCCUGACGACCGGAAACUGCCGGAACCUCUCCAUUGACAGCUGUCAUUGCUCCUCCGAGAGGUCCAAGAAGUUGGGCAGACAAACGUUCCGGGUGAAAGUGGUGUGUGAUGGUGUGGAAUUACUGGACACUCUACAACCCAGUUUCUUACCCAACAAAACAGUUUCCCUGAUUCUCAGUAACAACAAGAUCUCACUACUGAGAAACGCCUCCUUCUUUGGCCUGACAAUCCUGGAGAAACUGUAAGUAAGCCAUCUGCUGCAGGGAAUUUUUCUGUUUGUCUUCCCCUGAGCCAUAAUAGCUGUCAUCAUGAAAAUGACCCUGCCUGCGCUGUGAAA